AUUCCAUGAUGUGGCCAAUUCCUUUGCAGUCUUUUAAAACGCUCCCAUGCAUCAUAUAAAGACUCCCCAUCCAGCUGAUGGAAAUUAUUAAUGUUUUCUAGAAU